GUCCUGGGGUGGGGGGUUUUGAGGAAGACAGAAUCCACCUGACUGGUGGAAUAAACACCCCUAUCCUGAAAGCCAGCCAGCUUCUGGCUGGGUAUCAUCUCUACCAUUUUGAGACUGUCUGCUAGUAAGAUUUCCCACCAACAGUUCCCAGAAGCCAUGACAUGUUACUGCAGCUGGAGGCCAAAGCCUAUGGGGGAAGGAAGGAAAGGGGAGACCGGACGAGUCAGGGGAGAAUUCAGAGGCAUCGGAGAGAGGAUUGUGUGAGAGAGGACUCCACACGAGUAUCCCUCAGCAGCUCAAAUGGAAGGAGGAACGACAAUGCACCAGCCAUGCCACCCAGACCAACCGCUGCCCUAGAGUUUCAGGAAUCUCAGUCUCCAGGGUACUCCCUCCCCCUGCCCCCCCAAUGCUCUUCUAUUGACCAUCAUGGAAGGAGCUCAUAGCAUCACACACAAGCUUCAUACCCCUCAUUGCCCUACCACCUGGCUCUCCACCGGAAAUAGUAAGGAGAUGGUUCACAUCAGACUCCAACCACCUGACUCUCAAGACAGCAGUCCUUGCUAGUGCCCCUCCACUCAGUUGCCCCACUUCUGAGCUACUCCAACUGCUUGAUGUAGUCACGUCUGGACCGUUACAUCCCCAGCCAGAGGCUGGGGUUAUGGUCCCAUCCUUACAUUCCUAUCUUCCUCUUUUGAAUCCAUAGAGGAAAAGACACUGUUUCUCAUGCAUUUCUGCAUCCCUGGAGCAUUUGCUCACGGCUUGGUGUGCCCCCUCCCAGUGCAAGAAUCAUAAAUAAAAUU